CAGUAGCCGCGGUAAUACGAAGGGUGCAAGCGUUAAUCGGAAUUACUGGGCGUAAAGCGUGCGUAGGCGGUUUGUUAAGUCUGUUGUGAAAUCCCCGGGCUCAACCUGGGAAUGGCAAUGGAUACUGGCAAGCUAGAGUGUGUCAGAGGAUGGUGGAAAUCCCGGUGUAGCGGUGAAAUGCGUAGAGAUCGGGAGGAACAUCAGUGGCGAAGGCGGCCAUCUGGGACAACACUGACGCUGAGGCACGAAAGCGUGGGGAGCAAACAGGAUUAGAUACCCGUGUAGUCCCUGUCUCUUAUAC
rnacentral:rRNA from 1 species